AGGAGCAUGGACUAUUCUCUCAUGUUGAAUGUGGCAGUUUUCACAUACAAGCAGGAGAGAAAUUACACCAAGAUUUUGGAAAACAUGUUAUGUAAGGUUAUUGUGACCUCUAUGAUGGGGAUCUGAUAAAGAAGAAAAAUACCUCACAGCGAUGACUGGCAUGUGAUCACUUAGCCAAUGAGAUAAGAGGCUGUAGAAAUGAUGUGAUAAUGACGUCUCCUGAGUUCCAGGUCCAUAUUAGCAGUGGAUAUGAGGUAAACAUUGAGCUUUUCUCAAAUUUAAUUAACAAGCUUUAUUAUAGAUACAACUCAAAUUAGUUAAUUCAGGAAGCUUAUUUUGUAGAAAUUAAAACAUUAAUAAACAGAAAAUUUAGAAAUAAAGAACUCGGCUGACACUUUGACUCUUUGAAACAAGUGGCCUUCCAUGCUCUGAAAGAUUAUGGCCACCCUUUGAGACACUGGAAUGGUGUCCAUUGCAUUUUAUCAAGUAACUAUAGGUCAGCCUGGGAAAUCUGCAGUUCCUCCACUCCUGUCACUGUGGUUGCUGUGAGAUUUUGUGUCAUCACUGUGCUGUCUUCCCUCUCCACAUGAAGGUGAACUCUCUGACUUCACCCUAAUGUCUGUGGUUUCAUACCUGACCUGAUUGUUACUGAGCAAUUCCCUUGUUUGGAGAAUUCUGUGCUUUGGUUAGAAUUUUUAAAGGUUUUUUUCCUGUGGUCAGAUUUCUGUUUCCUCCUGUGUCUUAUGCACCAUGUUCUCCUACAGAGAAGAUUCUUUGAAGUUAGUGGAACCUCAGUUUAAAGGAAGAUCUACUGCGUUGUGUGGUGGAUGACCAUGGGGGAGCAAGAAGGCAGCCUCUGGCUUUUGUUUUGUGUGUACGUGUGUGUGUGUGUGUGUGUGUGUGAUGUACCUGGAAAAAUAACACAAUUAGCAUUAAAGAGUAUGUUUGGCAUGUUUAAAAUAAAUUGUAAACCAAAUGUAUUUUAAAGAAUUUAUACAAAUUUCUAAUUUAGUAAAACGAAUGACUAUUGAGUAUUUAUAUCAAUAAAACAACCACUCGAAUACAA